UACGUAGGGCGCAAGCGUUAUCCGGAAUUAUUGGGCGUAAAGAGCUCGUAGGCGGUUUGUCGCGUCUGCCGUGAAAGUCCGGGGCUCAACUCCGGAUCUGCGGUGGGUACGGGCAGACUAGAGUGAUGUAGGGGAGACUGGAAUUCCUGGUGUAGCGGUGAAAUGCGCAGAUAUCAGGAGGAACACCGAUGGCGAAGGCAGAUCUCUGGGCCUUACCUGACGCUGAGGCGCGAAAGCUAGGGGAGCGAACAGG
rnacentral:rRNA from 1 species